UGGAGGUGUGCCGAGUGCCGGGGGCAUGUGCCUGCGUGGGUCCUGUCCGGCAGGAGCUUGAAAUCAAGGCCGUCAGAGUGACUCCUGGGCACGGGACAUUGGAGAACUGAUGCGCCCAGGCUGAAGGGAGACACAGCAAACCCCAGCUGGGUGAAGAGCUGCAAGAGAGUUUCCAGUCUAAUCUCCCUGCCUGGCUCUGCAAUCCCGAGUUCAGUCUCUGGAACUUUGCCUGGUG